rnacentral:rRNA from 1 species
UACGUAGGGUGCGAGCGUUAAUCGGAAUUACUGGGCGUAAAGAGUGCGUAGGCGGUUCGUUAUGUCUGCUGUGAAAGCCCCCGGGCUUAACCCGGGAAGUGCAGUGGAAACUGGCGGGCUUGAGUGUGGCAGAGGGGGGGUGGAAUUCCGCGUGUAGCAGUGAAAUGCGUAGAGAUGCGGAGGAACACCGAUGGCGAAGGCAGCCCCCCUGGGCUAACACUGACGCUGAGGCACGAAAGCGUGGGGAGCAAACAGG